GGGGGAUUCUGAGGACGUUUGAGAGCAUGAGGACGAGAGACUGAGACGCAAAAGAGGAACUGGGGGCCGAGCAGGCGGUCAGAGAUUGGGGGACAAGGGCCGGGGCGUGAGGCGCAGACGGGGAGGAAGAGGGAGACGGGCUGCAGGAGGAGGAAAGGCAGCCAGAGCCAGGGCCACUACCGCAGCACACACUGACAGAGCCAUUAAAAGGUGGGCAAAGCAACGGGGAAACAGGGAGAAAAUGGGACGUGUGCAA
rnacentral:lncRNA from 1 species